rnacentral:lncRNA from 1 species
AGGUUACCGUGGCAGGCGUGCGGAUGUGGGUUUGGGCAACAUGCGGAUCCAGUAAAGUGGUUUCCUAAGGACGUUGGGAGUUGAAUUUUUAUCAAGAUUCAGACAUCAUUUUUCACCCGAAUUGAGUCAUAUUUUCAACGCUGUAUUCACGCAGUUUUGGGCCUUUUAAUUAUGGAUGCUGGUUACUGUUGAACAGAGAGCUACAGAAAACUGGAGUGGU